rnacentral:rRNA from 1 species
CCUACGGGUGGCAGCAGUAGGGAAUAUUGCACAAUGGGGGAAACCCUGAUGCAGCAACGCCGCGUGAGUGAAGAAGGAAUUCGGUAUGUAAACCUCUAUCAGCAGGGAAGAAAAUGACGGUAUCUGAGUAAUAAGCCCCGGCUAACUACGUGCCAGCAGCCGCGGUAAUACGUAGGGGGCAAGCGUUAUCCGGAUUUACUGGGUGUAAAGGGAGCGUAGGCGGGAGUGCAAGUCUGGUGUGAAAGGCGAGGGCUUAACCCUCGGACUGCUCUGGAAACUGUACGGCUGGAGUGCGGGAGAGGUAAGUGGAAUUCGUAGUGUAGCGGUGAAAUGCGUAGAGAUUAGGAGGAACACCAGUGGCGAAGGCGGCUUACUGGACUGUAACUGACGUUGAGGCUCGAAAGCGUGGGGAGCAAACAGGAUUAGAUACCCGAGUAGUC